rnacentral:rRNA from 1 species
UGCGUAGGUGGUAUGGUAAGUCAGAUGUGAAAACUUGAGGCUCAACUUCAAGAUUGCAUCUGAAACUACUAAACUAGAGUGCAGGAGAGGAAAGCGGAAUUCCGAGUGUAGCGGUGAAAUGCGUAGAUAUUCGGAGGAACACCAGUAGCGAAGGCGGCUUUCUGGACUGUAACUGACACUGAGGCACGAAAGCGUGGGGAGCGAACA